UUUCCGCCUUUCUCCUGUCUCACGUUUGCGUCUCUACCCAUUGCUCUGUUUGUCUCUCUAAACAAAACCCUCACAGAGCCUCUCUAAACAAAACCCUCAAAUCGUUGAUACCACAUCUGCGGCGCAACCCACAAACACUCAGAGCCCGGCGCACCCACAACCUCAAAUCGGAGGCGGUCCUUCUCAUCCAAUCCACUUGUCGGCGCCGCUCUCUAGCUUAUUCUCUUCCAAUCCAUAUUCAAAUCAGCGGCGCACUCAUAUCCAAUCCAACUCGACGGUGCUUCAUCUCUUCCUGUACGACUCGGCGGCCCUUCUUCUCUUCCAUUCUAAAUCGGCGGCGCCACCCACAAUCUUCAGGUAUGAUUGCGGCAUGUAUGUUAUUAAGCACAUGCAUACAAAAAUUAUCAAAUAGAAUCUAACCUUUAUGGAGAGUUGGUCAGAACGUAUUCGAUACAAGUUGGCAUCAAAUCUAGUGCUUUCAAAGGAAAAUGAACAACGUUCAAAAAUAAUAGAAAAUGCUAGAAAUACUCCACUACAAGAUAUUUUUCGGUCACUAGAAUGACAGUGAUUUGUAUAAUUUGAUAACUGAAUUUUUUGGAAAAUGCUGCAAUUUAGUGAAUUUUAUUUUUAAUUGAAAGGGAGAUUGAAUUUCAUAAGUUGCACUACCCUUGUUUAUGUGAGUUGCACUGCAUGUUUUUAGAUAUCAAUUUAUGUUGUUUGAAGAUGAUCCACUGCAAGAAGAAGAACAGAAUGAUGUCAGCUUACCAAGCAAAAAUUUAGUUUUAGUUUUAGAAAACUUUGAUGAUUUCAAGGCUGAUAAAGAAGCCAAACUGGAGGAAUGGUUGGGGGGGACUGACAACCCUCAUAAUCAUAGAGACGCAAGUGAUGCCGAAAGGGCUUUUACAUGACAAUAUUCGGCUUCUGAAAAAGCUUUACUUGUAAAUACUGUUGUUUAUUAUAUAAUUUUCUCUGGAUAAUGAUUAUAUACAAGAUAUUUGUGGUGUUGUGAGAUUCA